UAUCCGCGACCGAGUGUGUCCGCGUAUCUUCUCGAAAGAUAUCCGGAAUUAUCGCAAUCUGGAUAACAUAUUUCUUGGAAAAACUUACGUCGUCUCUCACGAAUGCCUCGUUCAGCACAUAUGUGAGAAAGUAGUGUGUGAAUUGAACCGUUUUGACGCCGUAUGUGACUCUGAAAAGAUAUACGAACAAAAGAUGCUAUGCCUUCGCUUUCGUACACCCGAUAUCUUCGUAUCUCGGCGGCACCGCCUUCUUGUUACUCUAUUCGGUUCGUAUUUCAUCGGGGUUCGCCUGCUCGCGUAGAUAGUCGACAUCGAGGCGGUGCCAAGGUCACGAGGGAGGAGCUGAGGUCAUCGCGGCAUCUAUGUUGUGCGGCGAACUCCUGAACGGUGGCUUCGUCAGUGCCGGAGCGGUACCGGUGGUUCCGUACGGUCUCCUAGGACUCGGGUUGCCCGGUUGUCUGCGCGCUACCAGUCCGCGUCUGUUAACCUCCCCUUACCUCACCCUGCUGGCCGAACUUCUGGCCGCGGGCCGCCUUGAGCUGCGAGACGAUCUCCUGGAGCUGAUGGACCUGGCAAAAAGGAGCCAUCAGGCUCCCGGUAACAACGGAGCGUCCGAGCUCGAUCUUGAUCUCCACGCCGACGACAUCGACGAGAUCU